AUUGAACGCUGGCGGCAGGCCUAACACAUGCAAGUCGGACGGUAGCACAGAGGAGCUUGCUCCUCGGGUGACGAGUGGCGGACGGGUGAGUAAUGUCUGGGGAUCUGCCCGAUAGAGGGGGAUAACCACUGGAAACGGUGGCUAAUACCGCAUGACGUCGCAAGACCAAAGAGGGGGACCUUCGGGCCUCUCACUAUCGGAUGAACCCAGAUGGGAUUAGCUAGUAGGCGGGGUAACGGCCCACCUAGGCGACGAUCCCUAGCUGGUCUGAGAGGAGGACCAGCCACACUGGAACUGGGACACGGUCCAGACUCCUACGGGAGGCAGCAGUGGGGAAUAUUGCACAAUGGGCGCAAGCCUGAUGCAGCCAUGCCGCGUGUAUGGAGAAGGCCUUCGGGUUGUAAAGUACUUUCAGCGGGGAGGAAGGCGAUGUGGUUAAUAACCGCGUCGAUUGACGUUACCCGCAGAAGAAGCACCGGCUAACUCCGUGCCAGCCGCCGCAGUAA
rnacentral:rRNA from 1 species